UUCCCUGAAGAGUGAGGUGGGCAUCAGAGUGGACGGAGACGCUGAAGAGGGACUUCAGGAGCCUGAUCAAGACAGUGCGCAGCAUAUCGCCUGCAUGAUGAUCAUCGUGUCAGGACCACUUCCCACGUAUAGAUGAGGACAUGAAAGGCUUUUUAGAUCUCCUGUUGGACAACAUCUCCAGGACACUUCGCUCCAUAUGACUAGGCAGUUUGUGAAAAGAGAUAAUCAAGAGAAGUCAGUUCCAGAUCCACCCUCCACACCAGACCUCUCUCUCACGAGGAUUGCUGUCUACUAGCAUAUUGUGUUCUUCAGCUCUUCAGACUUCGGUGGAUGCAGAUAUUACUCAGGGACAUGAACACUAGAAUAUUGCAAGAAUAGAGAAAAGGGACUUUGCGGGGGAUUCUUGAAAAUAGAUUAGCUUCACACAGACGUCUUCUAACUG